CUUUGAGUUUCAGUGAGAAAAAGACACCGGAUCACCUGUCAGCUUCAACUUCAUCGACACAGACAACAGGUUUUCUUUGUCUUAUUGUCUUCACCAGAAGAAAAGAACAGACAUUUAGAAGAGAAGACAACCAUCAAGAUGAGCUCAUCAGAGACAUCCACAAAUCCAGCCGGACCUCGUGGGGAGGGUGAGGAGAGUCUCACCGGGGGGCAAGUAGAUCCACGUCAGUGUGCUGACACUGUGGAGAAACCACACUGCUGCGCCUCGACCUCCUCAGAGCAUGACGGAGGAGGCCCCUCCACCUGUGAGGCCCAUCCAGGAGAGAAGCCCUUCACCUGUGAGGCCCAUCCAGAAGAGAAGCCCUUCACCUGUGAGCAGUGUGGGAGGAGUUUCUAUCGAAAAGGCGAUUUGCAAACUCACCAGCGGAUCCAUACUGGUGAGAAGCCCUUCACCUGUGAGCAGUGUGGGAGGAGUUUCCGUCACCGUCGGCCUUUCAGGGAGCAUCAACACGUUCACGCUGGAGAAUAAAGUGAGGCUCGUGAGUCUCUCUUUGGUGGGAAGCUUCGACCUGGACUGUCUGUAUCUCUAGUUGUUCUAAAAAGUCACGUGAUAUCAACAAGUUGACAUUAAAAGAUCAUUGACGUUUA